CAAAACCCUCUCUCUUUUCCUCCAUACCCAAGUCAAAAAAAAUGGGGGAACAACAGAGCUGAUUCAGAUUUGCUUCUGAUAUGAUGUAAUAUCGGAAAUGUGGGUCGGCCCUAUCAGAAACGCUGCUAUCAGAAACAAUGUGUGACGUGUUUUGGACGUAAUACGGUCUUUGUUUGCAUUAGCAAGCAUUACUAACACUCAGAGCUAACCUGUACUGGAGAGAAAAAGUGUUUAAACAGCAGGCAAAUACU